GCCCACCCCAAGCGCAGCCCGAGUGCCCGGACAGCAGCACCUCCAUGAGGAGCAGAUGUGAGUGGAGGUGAAUGGGAUGCAGAAUCCCAGCCGGCUCCCAGGACGGAAGCUGUCACAAUGUCACAGUCACAAUGGAGAAUUCAGCACCUGGUGGGUAUAUUUCUGUCCACAAAAGAGCUUGAGAAACCAACAUUCUACAUACAAAUGUGGAAAACAUGGAUGUCUUCUGAGAACUAGUGCCCCCUGAAGAUAUCAUCUUCCUGACGAGAGCGGAUAUUUACAGUCCCACUCUGCUACCUUCUUUCUAAAAAGAUCAACGGAGAGCCUGUGGAAGAGACUGUGUGUCAGGAGAGCAGCAGCCGCAUGCUGUUCUUCUCCCACGAGGACACAGAGGACGUUCAAGCGGCUGGUGCUCCAGGUAAAGGCCGUGCACAGAGCUCUGUGGCUGGCGGUUAGAGGUUGCUCCCUUCCCACCGGCUUCCCAAGGACGUAGGAACUUUGUCCUUUGGGAACAAAGCCACCUGAACCACACUCAGCAGAUGGCGAGAAGCAGCAGCAAUCUUCCUCCCACAGUCCCUGCAUCCCAGGGAAACGUUGUUCCAGGAGGCCACGGAAAUGAAACAGAACAUUUCAUGGCAGUGUCAGAGCUCUGAGGAGAUUGCCAGGCACGAGGCGCAGCAGUGACCACCAUUGUUCCUUCAGGUGCAGGUGCUGAAGAACAUGCUGAAGUGCAUGGCAUCCUGUGGAGGAUGUCUGCAUGUUCUCCUUCAAAGGCGCUCUUGCUUUAUUUGUUGCUGUGCUCCUUGUAAGGAUUCUGUACUGCAUUUGUAUCCAGCAGCAGAAGCAGAAACACUAGUGAGUUGCUCCACCAUCCCACUAUGUUCUUUAAUUCCAGCGCUGCUCUCCCAUGCCCUCAGCAGUUCCUCUCUCUGCAGGCACUCAUGGAAUCUGCCAAAGCCCAGUGUGCUGCCUGCAGGGCUCAUGGCAUGCAGACAGCGGGCUGGCCCCAUACAAAGCAGAGGACAGAUGGGCUCGGCCCCAGCGGCCUCCACCUGUGUCCACAUUCAGCCUAGAUGCUGCAGAGCCCCAACACAUCACCCCCCACAGACCAGAGAUCACCCCGGCUCCGCUGUCCCCAGCACAGCUCCUGUGGCUCCCCAGCUCAGCCUACAUCCCCCUGGCCAUGCAGAAGAGAUCGAGUCGCCCCAAGCCCCACUGGUCACUGCGACCUUCCCUGCUCCCAUCCUCCAGCAGAUGGCAGCUGUCCCCCUGGGGUAGGGUGCAAGGACCACAUCCCACACCUGGACAACCACUGCUGUGACCAGCUGUGACUCAUGCAAUAAUAAGAAAUAACUCUUUUAUUCAA